rnacentral:rRNA from 1 species
AACGAACGCUGGCGGCGUGCCUAACACAUGCAAGUCGAACGUGAUUGGGGAGCUUGCUCCCCAUGAAAGUGGCGCACGGGUGAGUAACGCGUAGAUAAUCUACCUGAUGGUCCGGGAUAACACUUCGAAAGGGGUGCUAAUACCGGAUAAGCCCACGAGGUCUUUGGACCAUGCGGGAAAAGGGGGGGACCUUUUAGGCCUUCCGUCAUCAGAUGAGUCUGCGUACCAUUAGCUAGUUGGUAGGGUAAAGGCCUACCAAGGCGACGAUGGUUAGCUGGUCUGAGAGGAUGAUCAGCCACACUGGAACUGAGACACGGUCCAGACUCCUAAGGGAGGCAGCAGUGGGGAAUUUUGCGCAAUGGGGGAAACCCUGACGCAGCAACGCCGCGUGAGUGAUGAAGGCUCUUGGGUCGUAAAGCUCUGACAGAGGGAAAGAAAUGCAUGGUGGCUAAUAUCCAUUGUGCUUGACGGUACCCUCAAAGGAAGCACCGGCUAACUCCGUGCCAGCCGCCGCAGUAAUAC